AAGUCGUAACAAGGUUUCCGUAGGUGAACCUGCGGAAGGAUCAUUAACACUCUUUUUUCAAUGAAAGAGCUCAUUUUUUGAUAUCUUUGUUUUUCUUUUGAGAAACUUGGAUUCAAAUAAUGGGUAUUCACCCCCUUAUAUUGACGAACGAAGAAAAACAAUGAUUUUGUUUCAAAAGCAAAACUCAUAUUUUUCUAUCUUUUUCUCUAUACCUUAUAUUUUCAAAACCCCUUUUUUUACAAUAUGUCUUAGACUGAACUGAAAAAUUAAGAUAAAUUAAAAAACAACUCUUAACAACGGAUAUCUUGGUUCUC
rnacentral:misc_RNA from 1 species